rnacentral:lncRNA from 1 species
GUUAUACACUUUUACCACAAGUCGAUUAAAAGUUCAAAAGAACUUUGGACCCAACCAUGUUGUGCGGGAUAGGCACAAUACCACACUUCCGAGGUGUGAUUCCCCAAUAAGUCAUAACCCAUUAAGGUUUUGGUGUCUGAUGCGCAUAAACCUCCCUAUUGGGUAUAGUGUCUUAGUAAAGCUCACUUCCCAAGAGGAUCAGGCUAUACAAUGACUUAGUCCUCCC